UACGGGGGGGGCAAGCGUUGUUCGGAAUUACUGGGCGUAAAGGGCUCGUAGGCGGCCGACUAAGUCAGACGUGAAAUCCCUCGGCUCAACCGGGGAACUGCGUCUGAUACUGGUUGGCUUGAAUCCGGGAGAGGGAUGUGGAAUUCCAGGUGUAGCGGUGAAAUGCGUAGAUAUCUGGAGGAACACCGGUGGCGAAGGCGACAUCCUGGACCGGUAUUGACGCUGAGGCGCGAAAGCCAGGGGAGCAAACGGG
rnacentral:rRNA from 1 species